UCGUAUCUGUUCACGGGUUUCAAGAAAAUGAAAAUUUUUUUUUUAAAUAAGCUUUAAGAUACGUAAACAAUACUUUUUUUUUUGACGAAAACUUUGAACUAGUACAGAAACUAAAUCAAAGACUGAAGCAGACGAUUUAAGGAAAGAAUAGUGACGAAUUUUUAUGGAUUUUUUUGAAGGAAAAAUAAAACUAAACAACAUAUAGCACAAGACUGAAGCAAACUAGGGUUCUUAAAAAACAUUUUUUUGAAAAUUAAAUAAAACAAAACUAGAAAUAAAAACUAUCGAAAAAAGAUGGAAAAGAUAAUCCUGGCAAG
rnacentral:lncRNA from 1 species